rnacentral:lncRNA from 1 species
AUCUAAGUUCGAAGGGUAUUUUUAUCGAGUCAAGGAUACGAAAGGGGUGUAGGAACACUACCAUACGCCAAGCGCGAAAACACGCAAGUGUAGCCUUCUCUUGAUUUGAUAGAUUCUGCCUUAUCCUUUAGUGAUCUAAGGUCCAUAAUCAGUCUUUGUUGUAGCUGCUUCCAAGCAAGGAAAGUUUACCUUAUCUCCCGAAUGCCCUUUUCACUUGUUCUUCUGCUUUUAUCUUUCUUAGCCAGGUGGCUUUUUACCCCAUUCCUUCUCAUCCUUC